CACUAGGACCUGGGGGAGGCUGCUGCUGCGGAGGCUGAUGCACAUGCUACUGACUGUUAGACUUUCUUCAGUGAAGAUGGCUGACAAAAAUUAUAAUAUUUUUUAAACUUAAUUAACAACAAAUCAAUACAGGAAGUACAUGUGGGAACACAAGUGUAUAUAUAAAUAAUAUACAAAGGACAAUUGGGCUAGGGGCGGGGCUAGGGGGUACAAUAUCACAUUACAUAAGGACCCUUAAGGGACAUACAUACACUUACAAUUCUAACAGCUUUUAUGUUAGUAGAGUAUUUAAUUAUUUUAAGACACAGUUCAAUUUCUUUUUUGUAAGGUACUAGGAUGGAGGCAAAAGGACUCCUGAAACAACCAGCAAACCAGGC